AGUCUGUUCAGCACUGAAGCUUCUUCCACUCACAGCUCUCAGUGUCUGUUUUUUUUUUACUGGAGUUUAGUGAUUCCAUUUACUGAAAAUGGCUCCAAACUUCACAUUCUGCUCUGUCCUUUGGAUAGUUGUUGCAGUUAUUGCUGCACAUACAGUUGUGUUAACUGAGGCAGCAACAUUGAUUCCAACAACAUCUCCAGCUACUACAGCAGUUCCAGAUCCCUGUUCUUCAAACCCUUGUGGCAAAGGAAGCACGUGUGAGGCUCGAGCUUAUAAUGAAUUUUUAUGCUUGUGUCUGGCUGGUGAUAUGUACAACUACAAAACACAUCGUUG